rnacentral:lncRNA from 1 species
CUGCUGUCUUCCCACCUCCUCUUGCCCCCUUGGACUCUUCUUUGGAAGACUAGACUUUCCCUUGCUUUCCCAUCAACCCAGCUCUCAGAGCAGCUCCAAGUACACUGUUGGUACUUUGUACAUCAUUGGAAUGAAAGAACACUGUGAAGUCCCACAGGUUUCAUUCUCUUUGGUCUCGUCUUUUCCAUGGCAACCACCUUUUUAAAGGCUUCCUUUAUCUUUUGCUCUGAUUUGCAAUUGCCUCCUAAAUUGUCUCUUUAACCUUCCUUUCCACUCUCCAUUCUGACCAAAUCGUGU